UGACAUUAUUCAUUCUGGGCCUGAUUCUGACAAUCUUUCUCCUACUGAGUGACAUGCUGAAAACAGCCCAUACUACUAUCCAUUGACUCAUAAAGUAAGCUAGUGAGCCCCUCUUAGAAAAAGUAAAAAAGGAGGACCUGGAGAUCUACAGACUGGUGAGCCUGCCCAUGGCAUGGAGGGGGUGAACUGACAGGGGAUCUGCCUGUAAUAAUGCUGGAUUGAAGCAUUAUUACAGGCAGAUGAUAAGACCUAGCAGCAGCAGCAGCAGCAUAUGGUUCGAGGGAGAGGAGUAUACCAAGCCCUGAGAGAAGGUUUCCUGCUGAAAGAAGGCUCUGCAGAGUGCAACAUUUCCAUUCACACAUGAGUUGUCAAUGCUUUGCUCUGUUUGUCUUUUAACCUUGCCUUCAGCUUCUUUCUGACAAUGGGCUUCACUCAAGCUCUAAUAGCUUAGCAUUUUUGGCCACUUGUACACAUGAUGGGGGUUUAGUUUUCCCUAAAUUGAAAUGGUGGGUUUUUAAUUAUGUAGAUCAGCAACCCACCGUUUCAAUUUAGGGACUUCUGUCACUGUGACAGAACAGUGAUGGUCCCAGUGAUAGGUGUCAGCUCGCCCCCUCCACACUGCGGACAGGUUCUACCAAAAAAAUAUAAAAAUUGAGGCAAGAGGUCCAAUCUCUUCCCCCCCCCCCCCGAGCUUUCCUGCCUCUCCCACAUGCUAGCAGCCCACUCAGGAAGUCCCAGGGGAGGGGGCCCCACUGCCAUGGAGGGAAGGAUCCCCACCCCCAAAGCUCAGGGGCUGUGUGGACCAGCAGGAGCUCACCCCCCACAGUGGGAGAGACAGGCAGGCUCUGUUGGAGGGGAAAAAAGCAGUCCACUCACCACUUGUUUUUUUCUCCUUCUUGGUGGAUCCUGAGCAUGCAAGUUGAUGGGCCAUGCAGCCCCUGAGCUGAAGAGAAGGGGGUGGUGCUUCCCUCCAUGGCAGUAGUUCCCCCUGGAGCCACCCAGGUGGGGUGCUAGUAGGCAGGUGCUGCCCCAGGUGUCAGGCAGCACCCAACCUGAUCCAGUGGUGCACGGGGCACUGGAAGCUUGUGUGUACUUAAAGAAGCAUGGGCUUGGCAGGAUUCCAGCACCCCAUGCACUGUCCUUGCUGUCUUCCUACCACCUGGUACUACCCUGGCUUGCCCCUGAGGAAGUGUAGAAAAGCAGCAGGAGGACAUCUGGGUGUGCUGAUGGCCAGAUAAGGCAGCAGGGACAGUGUAUGGAGUGCAGGAAGCCCAUCAAGCCUGAGCUUCCUUGAGCACACCUGGGCUUCCACCACCCUGUGCACCACCCCUACCACCUUCUCCAGACGUAUUGCAGCAAUAUGUUACAUAGCAAACUAAAAGACAUCAGAUGUAUUUUACUUUGCUAUAUAACAAAGUAAUUUAAAGUGAUAUAUGCCCCCACACAUGUACUGUGUGAUAAAAUUAAAAUGAAAUAUGCUGCUGCAGGUGUAAACAGUGACACCUGUCAACAAGCAAAGUGACCCCGCCAGAUUAUUGCACCAAAGUAUUAAGUAACACAACCCUCUGUAAAUAGUGAUGCGGUGGCGGACUGUUAAGUGACGCAACCAUCUAUGGCUGGUGAUGCGGUGGCGGAGUGUAUCAGCAAUUUGACCCAUCAUGCGAGCGGCGCGUGAUCGCAAUGUUAAGCAGAGCGUGAUCACCUGUGGUCUACCCAAUCAAAGACCACCUAAUGGGCAUGGCUGGCUGGCCAGCAUGUCCAUGGGUUCCAGAAGGUACCAUUAGGGGAGCUUUCUGAUUGACCAGAAACUUUAUAUAGGGGACUGCACGCCUUAGUGCAGGGUCCCCAGGCUCUGAAUCUCAGGACGGGCUGAUCACCCGUCUUGGGGCCUGGUCAGACCCCUAGGUCUUUAGCAGAAGCUGCUCCAGUCGCUCCAAGCAUCAUAAACUUACUGCCUCACAUAGUACCUUGUCCUAACCAGACACUGUACUUGUAUACUGCAGUCUCCACCCAUCACCCAUCGCUACCCAUCGCUUGUAUAUAUUCCCUUGCUGUUGUAUAUGGUUCGUUAUCACCAAGUUGUUUUGACCUACUGUUCAUCAGCCUUGUAAGUAAAUAUCAAACUUUAUUUCA